AUUGAACGCUGGCGGCAGGCCUAACACAUGCAAGUCGAGCGAGCGGCGGUCGGGUGAGUAAUGUAUGGGGAUCUGACCGAUAGAGGGGUAUCACUACUGGAAACGGUCGCUAAUCACGCAUACUAACGGAUGAACCACUAUGGGAUUAGCUAGUAGGUGGGGGAAAGGCACACCUACGCGAAGAUAUCUAGCUGGUCUGAGAGGAUGAACAGCCACACUGGGACUGAGACACGGCCCAGACUCCUACGGGAGGCAGCAGUGGGGAAGAUUGCACAAUGGGCGCAAGCCUGAUGCAGCCAUGCCGCGUGUAUGAAGAAGGCCUUAGGGGUGUAAAGUACUUUCAGCGGGGAGGCGUUACCCGCAGAAGAAGCACCGGCUAACUCCGUGCCAGCAGCCGCGGUAAUAC
rnacentral:rRNA from 1 species